GCAAAAGCUGAUUAACAUGUUCAUCCAUACCUCCAAUAUCAUCAAAGGAAACAUCGAUUUCGCUGGGUAGAACGAGCUGUGAUGCAACAAUCUGCUCAUACUCAUUUAAUUCCAGAGUCUCCAAUUCCUUGACUUGUUCCCCAGCCCACUCAUCAAGUCGCUUACGGCUUUUGGAAACUGUAUCCUGCCUUUUUUGUCGAUACGGAUCUAAAGUAGACAAAAGUUUAUGUGCUGCGUACCAAGAGCAACCAAAUGCUAAGGCAUAGACAACGAUCUCUUUAAUUGCCCUUUUAGUCGUCGGAUUCAUAAUCAAUUCCCCAGUAAUAAACUUCAAAAUGCAAGCACACAAAAUUUUAUGCAGUAAAUUUGUCUGGUGGCACGCUACUACUAUUGGGGCGGUUGGUAUGUUCAGCUAAAUGGGUAAAGAAGAUAUACAAAGUUGAUCGUACUUUGCUACAUUGUUUG